rnacentral:rRNA from 2 species
CCUUCAGUGCUGCAGCUAAACGCAUUAAGCAUUCCGCCUGGGGAGUCGGCCGCAAGGCUGAAACUCAAAGGAAUUGACGGGGGCCCGCACAAGCGGUGGAGCAUGUGGUUUAAUUCGAAGCUACGCGAAGAACCUUACCAGGUCUUGACAUACUAUGCAAAUCUAAGAGAUUAGACGUUCCCUUCGGGGACAUGGAUACAGGUGGUGCAUGGUUGUCGUCAGCUCGUGUCGUGAGAUGUUGGGUUAAGUCCCGCAACGAGCGCAACCCUUAUUAUCAGUUGCCAGAUUAAGUUGGGCACUCUGGUGAGACUGCCGGUGACAAACCGGAGGAAGGUGGGGAUGACGUCAAAUCAUCAUGCCCCUUAUGACCUGGGCUACACACGUGCUACAAUGGAUGGUACAACGAGUUGCGAACUCGCGAGAGUAAGCUAAUCUCUUAAAGCCAUUCUCAGUUCGGAUUGUAGGCUGCAACUCGCCUACAUGAAGUCGGAAUCGCUAGUAAUCGCGGAUCAGCAUGCCGCGGUGAAAUAACGUUCCCGGGCCUUGUACACACCGCCCGUCACACCAUGAGAGUUUGUAACACCCAAAGU